ACUUCCUGAAGAAAGAAAAAUACUGCUUUUGACCAAGACUGUUCUGCCUAUCAUAGUUUACAGCAGUCCUUUGUGAAAAGGUGAAGAGGAAAAGUACAGGCUUAAUUUUCUCAGCAACUUUAAAUACUACAUCUCCACCUUCACUCAAUUACAUGAUUCUAGUCACACACAGUGAAAGCAAGUGAGUUUUUUUGUUUUUUGAGACAGCAUUUCUCUGUGUAGCCUUGGCUGUCUAGAACUCACUGUCCUGGACCUCAGCAUAUAAACCAGGUGACGUCGAAGUUCAGAGAUCCGUCCGCCUGUGUCUGGCUCCUUAUGCAGGAAUGAAAGGUGUAUGCCAUGAGGCCUGGCUCUGCUGAUGACUGUAACCUGGUUCCUGGUUCCAUUUUCCUGCAGAGGAGCGCACACAUGCUCCAUGAGUAGCUUCUAGGUGCAUGGAGAAAGGACUGCAACAACAGUUCUGUCCUGUGAAACACGUUUAGUGAGCAUGGAGGUCACAUCAACAAGCAACAUAGCCAAGGUUAACCAGGAGACAAACUGCUGAGCAGUGUCCAAAGAGGAGGCCGCCAUCAAGGGUGGCUGCAGGGAUGGGAGAUGGCACAAGAUGACUUUGAGCUGGAUAUGGUGACCCAUGCUGUGGCCCCAGUGUCUACAAGGCAGAGGACUAUUUAUUUGAGCCCACAAGUUAAACCCAGGCAAGACAAAGGUCACACUCUUCAUUUCUCUGGAAACGUCUGAAAUGACUGACUGGCCUGCACCCUUCUCAUUGUUUAUAGCUCUGAAGCUGGGUGUUCUCUGUUACAACAGUCUUGUGCUUUAGGCUUGUGAUUUUCUCAUGUAUUGGCUUGAGUAUCUUCCCAGUGACCAGACUUCUCUUAAAGGCUUGAUCCUGGUACACUUGACAAUGGAAAGGCAAAUGGCCUGUGGAGUGGCUUCUGCUUCCCUCCUUCCAGACAGGGCCAAGUGCAGAAACCCUGCUGGCCCCUGUGCUGCCUGCCUGCCUGCCCGUGCUUCAGCUCUCCCAGGCUCUGCCCAUGUCCUCUGUGGGUUCCAAAGCUGUUCCCUCCGUGGGGUAGACUCUAUUGUUUUUCUUAUUCUGCUUUUCUUAAAAAGCUUCACUGGCUUGCACAGAGCCAUUCUCUAGUCUGCCAUCUUGUCUGAUGAUAUGUAUGUACGUUACCCAUCCAUCCAUCUGUCCGUCUGUUCAUACAUCUGUUCAUACAUCUUGUGUGUUCACAUGCAGGCCGUUCAUCCGUUCAUCAUGUGCCUAUAUGUGCAGGCUCACAUGGAGGCCAGAGGAUCCUUCUUGGCCUUUCAAGCACUAGGAUUACAGCCUGGAGACACCACUUCUGGUAUGUAUUACUUUAAUAGAGUAAUCUAAUUAAAACUGACUUUUCUCCUCCACAGCAUUUUUGAACUCUCCAUGUUGUUAUCUGUAGGUAUAGUUAAUUUUUUUGACUGACUGUGCUCUAUAAACAACUGACUUUUGCACAUACUACAUGUGUAGAGCUGAGGUGGAGGGCUGGCACACACCUUUAAUUUCAGCACGCAGGAAGGAGAAGCAGGCAGAUCUCUGUGAGUUCAAGGAUAGCCUGGUCUACAGAGUGAGUUCUAGAACAGCCAAAGCUAUACAGAUCAAGUGUCUUGAAAAACCAAAAACAACUCCUGCCCCCACAUAAAUCAUUAACCACAGCAACACAACAACCACGUGUGGAAUUACUCCAGCGUAAGUCAUGCCCAUCUCUCUGGUUUUCAAGACAGCAUUUCCUCUGUGUAGCCCUGGAUAUCCUGGAACUCUCUCAUUUAGACCAGGCUGGCCUUGAACUCAGAGAUCCACAUGCCUCUGCUUCCCAAGUGCUGGGAUUAAACAUGUGUGCUACCACAGGCUGGCCCUGACUGUUUGCAGAUGGCUACAGCACUCUGCACUCAGCCCAGUGUGCUCUGCCGUCCCGUCUCCUCACCGCUCACUGUCAUCUAGCCCUAUGCACACUCUUCAUCUCACUUUAACUGUUCCUAGACUCAGCGAUAAAAUUACUAAAUAUUGUAUUACUAAAUACAAGUUUAUUAUGCUCAAAAUUUUCCAAAAAUUCUUUUCUGUCUACAGACUAAAACACAAGUUAGGCGUUAAGUAUCGUAUGAGCCUUUCCAAUCUACCUCACCAUACCCCUGCACAGCAUUCUUUGAAUUACGUUGCUUUCAAUCACACCGUGUCUGUGGUUUUACUGAAGACAGCCUAGCUUCUUCCUCCUCAUCUUUGCAUGAUCAGACUCUCUGUCCUGUCAUCUUUCAGUUCAAGCGUUAGUUCCUCUGCAGAAACCCAUCUUAAUGUCCAAUCCGAGUAUAUUAUUCUUGUACUCACAACUCUGCAUCUAUAAAACAACUAUUAAAUGGGUUCUGUGAACAAUAUACUCUGCUAAGCACGUUAACUUAUAAUCUCUAAGUCUCCUAAAAUCCACGUAGAAAAGGAAACAAUCAUGUUCCUCGUGCAAGACCACAGAGGAGUUGCGACACUGAUGUUUUUAUUAUAUUCGUUUGGUUUCCACAUCUAUUCUCUUCCUGUCGCACCGCGCUGCCCUCCGGCCUCAUACAGUACUGAAGCCAUGUGACCAUAUGCUUGUCCUUUACACAACCGGACUUCUAGCGGGAGAGCAGGCCCCUGAGGGUACCAGUUCUGAACUACCGGGUAUGGUCCCGUCAGCACAGGCUGCACGUCAUCGGUGUUUUGCCUGAAUGUAUGUGUGGGCCCAAGUAGGUCGGAAGGUGACAAUGGAUCCUGGGAACCAGAGUUACACGUGGUCGUGAGCUGCCACAUGGCCCUCUCGUCAGAGCUGCAUGAUGCCUAGAUCAGUGCUCACUUCUGCUGGGUGAGCGCCAUGUCCUGCACUGCCUGCUGUCUCCCAGGCACGCCCGCCUGCCCGCCCGCCGCCCUCACCUGUCUGUGCUCUUCGUACUCCAGCUUACUCAGCAGCAGCGCCUUCUCGAGGUCGGCUUCAAACAUUUCAGAGGUCAGCUAAAAAGAUUGUUUCACAAUAAACAUCCAUUUACACUACACUUUCAAAAUAAGCAUGAUCUAUGAGAAUACACACAGCAAAGGAAAAUGGAUGUACUUUAAACGAACAUUUAUCAGUUUUCCUAAGUUAUUUAACCAUGCUAUCCUAGCAACCUUGUGCUGUACACAAGCAUCAACUCCUGUUUUUGAAAUUUCUAUUUCCCCAUUCAUUGUUAAUUUGGGUAAAUACCCACGUCUACAUAUGCUAUAGAUAUCUCAUAUUUUUCUCCCCAAAAUCCCCUCACACUGUGAAUAAAAUAUUCUGACAUCCUUAAUUCAACAGGACAGGUAAGCAUCCCAAUCAGACACGGUGCCACACCAGCAGCCACGUGGCCGGACCAGCAACAGCAGGCAGGGAAGGUCAGCCAGGCCUUCUCCACUCUCCCAGGCGCUGUCUUCGGAUAUGCAGGAAGGAAGGACACCCACCUGACAGUUAUCCCGAGAUGUGGUGUCUGCUAGCUCCCGCCUUGGAGUGUCCCAGAACUUGCUAGUUUCCAUCUUUUAUGGCCUAAGUUUUCAGGUUUUAGUUACUCCUCAAUAAAUUUUUGCCCAAGUUACUAAGAAUUGUUAUGUUGUUCAAUGUUUUAAAAUAUACAGACUAAAAUAGUAACCAAUGUCAAAAGGAAUGGGUAAAGGCUGUCUUAAAAAUUAGAAAACUAUCAAACUCUACAAAUUAAACUUUUCUAAGUGAAAUCACCCCUUAGAAAGCAUCUCACUUGAUCCUUCGCCAAGACAAAAACAGUGAAACAAGCUAGCUUUACACAGAAAAACACUAACGGAAAUGCAAUGAGAAUUAGACUGGUAAGGAAAGUGCAUGCAGGAAUCUGAGGAGGCCCACAAUAAACUGCAAUCCUACGAUGAUCCCGGGGGACUGAGGAGUUAUGCAAUCCCAAUUAACUAUUAGCAGGAAACAGCACCUCACAGCUUAAUCCUAGGGGCCUGGAGAGCUGGCUCAGUGCUUAUGAGCACUGGCUGCUCUUGCAGAGGACUCAUUCCCAGCACCCACAUGGUGGCUCAUUCCAGUUCCAGAGGCUCCAGCACCCUCUUCUGGCUUUUGUAAGUACUAGGUACACAGGUGAUAUACUUACACACAUGCAGGCAAAAUCUCCAUAG